rnacentral:rRNA from 1 species
UAUUGAAUGGCCGCGGUAUCUUGACCGUGCAAAGGUAGCAUAAUCAUUAGUCUUUUAAUUGAAGGCUGGAAUGAAUGGUUUGACGAAGUAUAAGCUGUCUCUGUAUAAUAAAUGGAAUUUGUCUUUUUAGUUAAAAGACUUAAAUAAAAAUAAGGGACGAGAAGACCCUAUAGAGCUUUAUAUAAUUGUAUAAUAUGAAUUUUUUAGAUGUUUUAUUAGUUUAUUGUGUAAUUAUAUUGUGUUGGGGUGACAUAAAGAUAAAAUUAACUCUUUAUAUUUAUUAACAUAGAUUUAUGGGUAUUUGAUCCAGUAUUACUGAUUGAAAGAUAAAGUUACCUUAGGGAUAACAGCGUAAUCCUUCUUGAGAGUUCAUAUCGAAAGAGGGGGUUGCGACCUCGA